AGGAGAUGGAAGGAAACACAAAUAGAGAACUGGCAGAAGCCAUUGCUGAACUUGAGUCUGUAUACCAGAGAGCUUCUCGUCUAAGAUCUACUGAUGACCUUUUGAAAACAUCACACAACAAUAUGUACAGAUCUUGAAGAAAACUCAUAUUGUCUGAAAAAUAAACAGUAAAACUUUA